rnacentral:rRNA from 1 species
GUGUGACUGCGUACCUUUUGUAUAAUGGGUCAGCGACUUAUAUUCUGUAGCAAGGUUAACCGAAUAGGGGAGCCGAAGGGAAACCGAGUCUUAACUGGGCGUUAAGUUGCAGGGUAUAGACCCGAAACCCGGUGAUCUAGCCAUGGGCAGGUUGAAGGUUGGGUAACACUAACUGGAGGACCGAACCGACUAAUGUUGAAAAAUUAGCGGAUGACUUGUGGCUGGGGGUGAAAGGCCAAUCAAACCGGGAGAUAGCUGGUUCUCCCCGAAAGCUAUUUAGGUAGCGCCUCGUGAAUUCAUCUCCGGGGGUAGAGCACUGUUUCGGCAAGGGGGUCAUCCCGACUUACCAACCCGAUGCAAACUGCGAAUACCGGAGAAUGUUAUCACGGGAGACACACGGCGGGUGCUAACGUCCGUCGUGAAGAGGGAAACAACCCAGACCGCCAGCUAAGGUCCCAAAGUCAUGGUUAAGUGGGAAACGAUGUGGGAAGGCCCAGACAGCCAGGAUGUUGGCUUAGAAGCAGCCAUCAUUUAAAGAAAGCGUAAUAGCUCACUGGUCGAGUCGGCCUGCGCGGAAGAUGUAACGGGGCUAAACCAUGCACCGAAGCUGCGGCAGCGACGCUGAUGCGUUGUUGGGUAGGGGAGCGUUCUGUAAGCCUGCGAAGGUGUGCUGUGAGGCAUGCUGGAGGUAUCAGAAGUGCGAAUGCUGACAUAAGUAACGAUAAAGCGGGUGAAAAGCCCGCUCGCCGGAAGACCAAGGGUUCCUGUCCAACGUUAAUCGGGGCAGGGUGAGUCGACCCCUAAGGCGAGGCCGAAAGGCGUAGUCGAUGGGAAACAGGUUAAUAUUCCUGUACUUGGUGUUACUGCGAAGGGGGGACGGAGAAGGCUAUGUUGGCCGGGCGACGGUUGUCCCGGUUUAAGCGUGUAGGCUGGUUUUCCAGGCAAAUCCGGAAAAUCAAGGCUGAGGCGUGAUGACGAGGCACUACGGUGCUGAAGCAACAAAUGCCCUGCUUCCAGGAAAAGCCUCUAAGCAUCAGGUAACAUCAAAUCGUACCCCAAACCGACACAGGUGGUCAGGUAGAGAAUACCAAGGCGCUUGAGAGAACUCGGGUGAAGGAACUAGGCAAAAUGGUGCCGUAACUUCGGGAGAAGGCACGCUGAUAUGUAGGUGAAGUCCCUCGCGGAUGGAGCUGAAAUCAGUCGAAGAUACCAGCUGGCUGCAACUGUUUAUUAAAAACACAGCACUGUGCAAACACGAAAGUGGACGUAUACGGUGUGACGCCUGCCCGGUGCCGGAAGGUUAAUUGAUGGGGUCAGCGCAAGCGAAGCUCUUGAUCGAAGCCCCGGUAAACGGCGGCCGUAACUAUAACGGUCCUAAGGUAGCGAAAUUCCUUGUCGGGUAAGUUCCGACCUGCACGAAUGGCGUAAUGAUGGCCAGGCUGUCUCCACCCGAGACUCAGUGAAAUUGAACUCGCUGUGAAGAUGCAGUGUACCCGCGGCAAGACGGAAAGACCCCGUGAACCUUUACUAUAGCUUGACACUGAACAUUGAGCCUUGAUGUGUAGGAUAGGUGGGAGGCUUUGAAGUGUGGACGCCAGUCUGCAUGGAGCCGACCUUGAAAUACCACCCUUUAAUGUUUGAUGUUCUAACGUUGACCCGUAAUCCGGGUUGCGGACAGUGUCUGGUGGGUAGUUUGACUGGGGCGGUCUCCUCCUAAAGAGUAACGGAGGAGCACGAAGGUUGGCUAAUCCUGGUCGGACAUCAGGAGGUUAGUGCAAUGGCAUAAGCCAGCUUGACUGCGAGCGUGACGGCGCGAGCAGGUGCGAAAGCAGGUCAUAGUGAUCCGGUGGUUCUGAAUGGAAGGGCCAUCGCUCAACGGAUAAAAGGUACUCCGGGGAUAACAGGCUGAUACCGCCCAAGAGUUCAUAUCGACGGCGGUGUUUGGCACCUCGAUGUCGGCUCAUCACAUCCUGGGGCUGAAGUAGGUCCCAAGGGUAUGGCUGUUCGCCAUUUAAAGUGGUACGCGAGCUGGGUUUAGAACGUCGUGAGACAGUUCGGUCCCUAUCUGCCGUGGGCGCUGGAGAACUGAGGGGGGCUGCUCCUAGUACGAGAGGACCGGAGUGGACGCAUCACUGGUGUUCGGGUUGUCAUGCCAAUGGCACUGCCCGGUAGCUAAAUGCGGAAGAGAUAAGUGCUGAAAGCAUCUAAGCACGAAACUUGCCCCGAGAUGAGUUCUCCCUGAC